AACGCACAUUGCGCCCCUUGGUAUUCCGAUGGGCAUGUCUGUUUGAGCGUCAUUUCCACGCUCGUCCGUAAAUCUGGCCUUUUAGGUCUGGAUUUGCGGUGCGGUCUUGGGGUGACCUGCCUGGUUGACGGGCCGGUCCCCUUAAAUUCGUGGUCCACUACCGCUUUGGCCUGAACGAACCUGAUAGCUUUUGAAAUCGGCUCGCUGUAAGGACUGGCGCGUUGGCAGAAUCAUUAAUGACUUAUUUUUCCUAAGGCUUGACCUCAGAUCAGACAAGGAUACCCGCUGAACUUAA
rnacentral:misc_RNA from 1 species